CGAGAGAGCCCGCUGGAUCAGCGCUCUGGGACAGAACAACAGUAACGACAAGAAUGACAGAAUGAAUACCAUGCAGGUGACAAGGACGUACACAGCCAGACAGCAGGAUGAGCUCUCUCUACAGGUGGCUGAUGUGGUGUUUGUGUCACAGACAGUAGACGGCUGGUAUGAAGGCGAGCGCCUGCGGGAUGGAGAGAGGGACUGAUUCCUGGCUGAGUGCGCCGAAAACUUAUCACCUGUCAGGCAACCAUCGAGAAAAACAUGCAGAGGAUAAACCGUCUGCAAGGCCUAGAAAUUAAUGUCUGAGGCCAAUGUCUGGAGCUCUGCCUCCUGAGGAAUGUACAGCACAUGAAGACUGGAUGAAUCUAACCACUACAGAGCAGGAACUUUAGUAGCUUGAUACAAAGGACAAAUACACCAUAUGUUUUAUCCAAUAGCUUUUAUGUGAG